rnacentral:rRNA from 1 species
UACGUAGGGUCCGAGCGUUGUCUGGAAUUAUUGGGCGUAAAGAGCUCGUAGGCGGUUUGUCGCGUCUGCUGUGAAAUCCCGAGGCUCAACCUCGGGCCUGCAGUGGGUACGGGCAGACUGGAGUGCGGUAGGGGAGAAUGGAAUUCCUGGUGUAGCGGUGGAAUGCGCAGAUAUCAGGAGGAACACCGAUGGCGAAGGCAGUUCUCUGGGCCGUAACUGACGCUGAGGAGCGAAAGCGUGGGGAGCGAACAGG